UUUAUGGAGAGUUUGAUCCUGGCUCAGGAUGAACGCUGGCGGCGUGCCUAAUACAUGCAAGUCGAGCGAACUGACAGGAGUGCUUGCACUCCUUGACGUUAGCGGCGGACGGGUGAGUAACACGUGGGUAACCUACCUAUAAGACUGGGAUAACUUCGGGAAACCGGAGCUAAUACCGGAUAAUAUUUUCCACCUCAUGGUGGAAUAGUGAAAGACGGUUCUGCUGU
rnacentral:rRNA from 1 species